UGCAAGUCGAGCGGUAACAGAUCUAGCUUGCUAGAUGCUGACGAGCGGCGGACGGGUGAGUAAUGCAUAGGAAUCUGCCCGGUAGUGGGGGAUAACCUGGGGAAACCCAGGCUAAUACCGCAUACGUCCUACGGGAGAAAGGGGGCUYCGGCUCCCGCUAUUGGAUGAGCCUAUGUCGGAUUAGCURGUUGGUGAGGUAAUGGCUCACCAAGGCGACGAUCCGUAGCUGGUCUGAGAGGAUGAUCAGCCACAUCGGGACUGAGACACGGCCCGAACUCCUACGGGAGGCAGCAGUGGGGAAUAUUGGACAAUGGGGGGAACCCUGAUCCAGCCAUGCCGCGUGUGUGAAGAAGGCCCUCGGGUUGUAAAGCACUUUCAGCGAGGAAGAACGCCUGGUGGUUAAUACCCAUCAGGAAAGACAUCACUCGCAGAAGAAGCACCGGCUAACUCCGUGCCAGCAGCCGCGGUAAUACGGAGGGUGCAAGCGUUAAUCGGAAUUACUGGGCGUAAAGCGCGCGUAGGUGGCUUGAUAAGCCGGUUGUGAAAGCCCCGGGCUCAACCUGGGAACGGCAUCCGGAACUGUCAAGCUAGAGUACAGGAGAGGAAGGUAGAAUUCCCGGUGUAGCGGUGAAAUGCGUAGAGAUCGGGAGGAAUACCAGUGGCGAAGGCGGCCUUCUGGACUGAUACUGACACUGAGGUGCGAAAGCGUGGGUAGCAAACAGGAUUAGAUACCCUGGUAGUCCACGCCGUAAACGAUGUCGACCAGCCGUUGGGUGCCUAGCGCACUUUGUGGCGAAGUUAACGCGAUAAGUCGACCGCCUGGGGAGUACGGCCGCAAGGUUAAAACUCAAAUGAAUUGACGGGGGCCCGCACAAGCGGUGGAGCAUGUGGUUUAAUUCGAUGCACGCGAAGAACCUUACCUAC
rnacentral:rRNA from 1 species